rnacentral:rRNA from 1 species
CCCUUAGAUGUUCUGGGCCGCACGCGCGCUACACUGAUGCAUUCAACGAGUUUCUUCCUGGUCCGAGAGGAAUGGGUAACCUUUUGAAAGUGCAUCGUGAUAGGGAUAGACUAUUGCAAUUAUUGGUCUUCAACGAGGAAUUCCUAGUAGACGUAGUUCAUCAGACUGCAUCGAUUACGUCCCUGCCCUUUGUACACACCGCCCUUCGCUCCUACCGAUUGAAUGCUCAGGUGAGCCAUUCGGACUUUCAUCAUGCUGGUUUCCAGUUUUGAUGAAGGAAAGUCUUGCGAACCUUAUCAUUUAGAGGAAGGAGAAGUCGUAACA